rnacentral:rRNA from 1 species
UACGUAGGUGGCGAGCGUUGUCCGGAAUUAUUGGGCGUAAAGGGCGCGUAGGCGGUCUUUUAAGUCAGAUGUGAAACCCCGAGGCUUAACCACGGGCAUGCAUUUGAAACUGGGAGACUAGAGUGCAGGAGAGGUAAGUGGAAUUCCUAGUGUAGCGGUGAAAUGCGUAGAUAUUAGGAGGAACACCAGUGGCGAAGGCGACUUACUGGACUGUAACUGACGCUGAGGCGCGAAAGCGUGGGGAGCAAACAGG